GACGAACGCUGGCGGCGUGCUUGACACAUGCAAGUCGAACGGAAAGGCCUGCUUUCCCUUGUGGAUUGCGGGUACUCGAGUGGCGAACGGGUGAGUAACACGUGAGUGAUCUGCCCCCAACUUGGGUAUAAGCCUGGGAAACUGGGUCUAAUUCCCGAUCGGACUGCAGGGUGGUGCCUGUGGUGGAAAACGAUUUUCUAGUGGUUGGGGAUGAGCGCGCGGCCUAUCAGCUUGUUGGUGGGGUAAUGGCCUACCAAGGCGGGGACGGGAAGCCGGCCGGGGAGGGUGGACGGCGACAUGGGGACGGAGAUACGGCCCAGACUCCUACGAGAAGCAGCAGUGGGGAAGAGUGCGCAAGGGGCGGAAGCCUGAUGCAGCGACGCCGCGUGGGGGAUGACGGGCUUCGGGUUGUAAACUCCUUGCGACCGCGAGGAAGCCACCUGGUUGGAAGGGUGGUGACGGUAGUGGUAGAAGAAGCACCGGCUAACUACGUG
rnacentral:rRNA from 1 species